rnacentral:rRNA from 1 species
GCUGAAAACUCGUAAUGAUCUUCCGUAGGGUGAACCUGCGGAAGGAUCAUUACCGAGUUUUCGAGCUCCGGCUCGACUCUCACCACCCUUUGUGAACGUACCUCUGUUGCUUUGGCGGCUCCGGCCGCCAAAGGACCUUCAAACUCCAGUCAGUAAACGCAGACGUCUGAUAAACAAGUUAAUAAACUAAAACUUUCAACAACGGAUCUCUUGGUUCUGGCAUCGAUGAAGAACGCAGCGAAAUGCGAUAAGUAAUGUGAAUUGCAGAAUUCAGUGAAUCAUCGAAUCUUUGAACGCACAUUGCGCCCCUUGGUAUUCCGGGGGGCAUGCCUGUUCGAGCGUCAUUACAACCCUCAAGCUCUGCUUGGAAUUGGGCACCGUCCUCACUGCGGACGCGCCUCAAAGACCUCGGCGGUGGCUGUUCAGCCCUCAAGCGUAGUAGAAUACACCUCGCUUUGGAGCGGUUGGCGUCGCCCGCCGGACGAACCUUCUGAACUUUUCUCAAGGUUGACCUCGGAUCACGGUAGGGAUACCCGCUGAACUUAAGCAUAUCAAUAAGCGGAGGAACGCAUCCCGC